rnacentral:lncRNA from 1 species
UGACUUAAAAAAAUUCAAUUCAUAAAGUGGAACGCAAAUACAUACAUUUUCAGAAAUCACUAUUUUCUCAUUAAACACUUGGAUAUUUCGAGUUUGUAGAAUUUGUGUGAAAUUACGGACCCCUAAAACUUUAAACUAACACUGCUUAUAUACAACUCCUAACAUAACCGUCUACAACGACCGACUCAACAAAACUUGCCACGUCUUCGUCUCCAUGUAAUCUUCGUUCUCGACUGACUUCCACGUGUUCUGGAAUAACUGUCUGAUCUUAUCCGCUUGUGCCUCGUUCGACCGCGUGGAGAGUAACAUUGCAUUAAAAGCUAAGAAUUUCACUAAGUCCAAAAACAAACAAAUCUUAACUAACUGCUUGGAAAUUUGAGUAAUGUCACCAAUAUCAUUUGAUGGGAUCAAUUUGUUUGCAUACCUAAUUCCAUGGUCGAAUGACCAUUUCGACCUAAGUAAAAACCCAAGUCAUCAAACAAUCUUAAAAAAUUGUCAAAUUCUUACAAUCAAGGCUUGUGUCAGAAAUCCGAGGUAACAAAUUGUCCCCUAAAAUGCGAUGUUUCGACUUUCCUUUUAAUGAGAAUGAGAAAAAUGGCAUUUUUGAAAUGAUUUUCGACAUUGUUUAAAAACCAUUUUGCUGAUGUCAGCGUCAUCGUUGCGCCUUUUCACAAACCUCUGUUCAACAAGAUUUUCUAACCAUCAUAGUCCUGCUUCCUAGAAGAGUGGAAAGUUACUUCUGCCACUAACUCUUCCACGUCCUGAAUAGGAAUCGUUUCCGACUGUCACAUGAAUGUCACUUGUCGAACGAUUGCUUACCACCAUCCUCUAUAAAUAACAGUCUCAUUUCUUCAUUUCAAACUCUUCCAACUUCAAACACUAAUAUGCACUAGUCUUUUCACUCAUAAAUAUCUUUUUCCACAUAGCUUCAAAAGAAGAAAAAAUGGCAACUCUCACCACCUCUGUACCAGUCACCGGCAAGAAAAUCCAAUAGCACUCACGAUUCCGGCAUCAGAAAAAGAUAUGUGGAGAUAUUUCGUACCUAAGCCACCACUCGCCAAUGAGAAAAUCUCCAUCUGGGCUAAACAAAUAUGUAUUCUCUCCCCCCUCUCUAAUAAACUCUUAGCAUUUUUAGGUACGUUUCUCACUGCUAAGUCAAACCCUGGGAAGGUAAAAAGUUUCUUUCCAUGUUAUCCUAUCACCAUGCCUUCUGUGUUCGAAGAAUGCU